rnacentral:rRNA from 1 species
CCCUAACCGUGCAAAGGUAGCAUAAUCAUUUGCCUUUUAAUUGGAGGCUUGUAUGAAUGGUUUGACGAGGGCUAAGCUGUCUCUUUUAAAAUAUUUAGAAAUUAACUUUUAGGUGAAGAGGCCUAAAUUUGGCUGAGGGACAAGAAGACCCUGUUGAGCUUUAGUUUUAUGGUAAAUGGAUUAUUAUGAUAUUUGUAAUAAGCGUGGACCUAGGUGUAAUGGGAUUUUAGUAUGAAUCUUUAGUUGGGGCGACUGAGGAACAGCUAGAGCUUCCUUUGGUUUAGAAGGGCAAGUAGUGUGCCGGAAAAUGUGUAUUCUUGCAGGUUGUUUUGAUCCAGUAGAAUACUGAUUAAAGGAAAAAGUUACCACAGGGAUAACAGCGUAAUCUUUCUGGAGAGAUCUUAUCGAAAGGAGGGUUUGCGACCUCGAUGUUGGACUAA